GGGCAAGAAAGUGAUGAGCAAAAAGAAAGCGAGGAUGAGGAAAGUGAAGGAGAUGAGGAGAUGGAUUUUGAGGAAGAGAAGGACGAUUAAACUUUUUAAUUUUUAAUGUUUAUUUUUGAAGAUUGUAUUAAAUUUUGGAGAAUUUUUAUUUUAGGAGAAAGACUAACAUUAUAUUUUUAUAUCUUUGUUUUCUUUUCAAUUUCA
rnacentral:lncRNA from 1 species